GGUUGUCUCAUGACUCCAGUGGAUCAUUUACAUAAGGAGAGAAGAUUAGCAUGGCCCCUGCGCAAGGAUGUAAAGCAAGGAUCGUAAAGCGUUCCACAUUUUU
rfam:Musca domestica strain aabys unplaced genomic scaffold Scaffold19932, whole genome shotgun sequence.